CAGUAGCCGCGGGAAUACGAAGGGGGCUAGCGUUGCUCGGAAUUACUGGGCGUAAAGGGAGCGUAGGCGGGUUAUCAAGUUGGAGGUGAAAGCCCAGGGCUCAACCUUGGAAUUGCCUUCAAAACUGAUAGCCUAGGGUAUGAUAGAGGUAAGUGGAACUCCGAGUGUAGAGGUGAAAUUCGUGGAUAUUCGGAAGAACACCAGUGGCGAAGGCGACUUACUGGAUCAUGACUGACGCUGAGGCUCGAAAGCGUGGGGAGCAAACAGGAUUAGAUACCCCAGUAGUCCCUGUCUCUUAUAU
rnacentral:rRNA from 1 species